AGAGAAAGAGAGGGUAGGGGUAGAGAGAAACAGAGGGUAGGGGUAGAGAGAAAGAUAUGGAGAACAAUGCCUUCACAUUGGCCGGGAGAAAGAAAAAGAGAAAUAGAAAGAGGACAAGCCUUGACGUGGGCAACACAUCCACCCUGGCCACUGCUGCGGAGACCGCAGGGCUGGCAUACUGAGACCGCAAGGCUGGCAUGCUGAGACCGCAGGGCUGGCAUACUGAGACUGCAGGGUUGGCAUACUGAGACCGCAGGGUUGGCAUACUGAGACCGCAGGGCUGGCAUACUGAGACCGCAGGGCUGGCAUACUGAGACCGCAGGGCUGGCAUACUGAGACCGCAGGGCUGGCAUACUGAGACCGCAGGGCUGGCAUACUGAGACCGCAGGGCUGGCAUACUGAGCUCCUAAAGAGAACAGUAUGUUUGUCUAAGAGAAAAUGAACUCCUGCAUUCACACAGUCAACAGCUGCUGCAGCAGUUGAGAUCUGCUAAAAGCUAAAAGCAGAUGCUGAAAGGAGAAUGGGUUUCAAAUGUACCGUGUCUAUCCAUGUCUCAGUUCAAUCAGUAUCGGUGGAAUAUUCCAAUUUCUGUACAAUGCUGUAACUCCAUUUUGAGUCAUCCAUGUUUGUGGCUCUUACGCCAUAGAUGUUGACUGGUAGAUGGAUAUGUUUGUGUUUUAUCCUUCUCCUUUGUCUUUUGCGUGAGUUGGCUAAAACAGAAACAAAUCUGGCGCAAAGCUCCAUGUUCACUGUCACCUUUUGCACCAUUAUGGCCUUUUGAUGUGUUUGAAUGACUAACCGUCCUCAGGUCUAGACGCUGUCACCAUUAUGGCCUUUUGAUGUGUUUGAAUGACUAACCGUCCUCAAGUCUAGACGCUGUCACCAUUAUGGCCUUUUGAUGUGUUUGAAUGACUAACCGUCCUCAGGUCUAGACGCUGUCACCAUUAUGGCCUUUUGAUGUGUUUGAAUGACUAACCGUCCUCAGGUCUAGACGCUGUCACCAUUAUGGCCUUUUGAUGUGUUUGAAUGACUAACUGUCCUCAGGUCUAGACGCUGUCACCAUUAUGGCCUUUUGAUGUGUUUGAAUGACUAACUGUCCUCAGGUCUAGACGCUGUCACCAUUAUGGCCUUUUGAUGUGUUUGAAUGACUAACCGUCCUCAGGUCUAGACGCUGUCACCAUUAUGGCCUUUUGAUGUGUUUGAAUGACUAACCGUCCUCAGGUCUAGACGCUGUCACCAUUAUGGCCUUUUGAUGUGUUUGAAUGACUAACCGUCCUCAGGUCUAGACGCUGUCACCAUUAUGGCCUUUUGAUGUGUUUGAAUGACUAACCGUCCUCAGGUCUAGACGCUGUCAGCAGCAGCAAUGGAUAUUUUCCAGGACUCUAUAAUAUGCAGUAGUAGGCUGUUAACAGUACAGUUCCGUAAUGAAUAGCAGAUCCCUUUGGUUCCCUCGGCCUACUCAUUCACAUUUCGUUAUUAAGGGCUUCAGUUAAUAUCGUCUUCAACAACAUUUUAUAUCACAAAACACCUACAUGUUAUUACGAAACAGUGUUAAGUUAACCUCCUUACACACACGCACGUAUGUACAAAUACAUGCUCCCACAAAUGUAGGCAUGCACGUACACACACAAACACACACGCCCCCCUCCGACACACACAGUCAAACUCUUUAAUCAAUAAAAGCUGUAGAUGAAAUCACACUGAAUAGACCUUAGAUGUGUCUUUACAGGGCUAUUUAACAAUGUAAAACAAACAUAUUAUAGGCUAAUAUGUGUUUUUUAAUUUAAUUGUAUGGUGCUUGUGUACAGUUGCUAUUGACAUAACAAAAUAGUCUAUUCUAUGUGUUGCUUUUCAAUGUUUGUAUUGUGUUCCAUCAUUUUAAUAACAACUUUGUAUAUGUUUGGUUAGUAUUCAUCACAUCCACUUCAUCAUUAUCUUGUACUGUACAAUACAUAUCCCAUGCUGUUGGACUAUCUAGCGUUGGGAUUUCUAUAAUGGCCAGUUUGCUAACCAGUUAUCCGAUGCAAUAAUGUUUGAAACCAUAUGUAAGCUGAGGGUGUGAGCUAUGGUACUUAUUUAAUAUGCAUAUGGAACGAUUGUGCUGUCAGGGACUCAAAUAACUCCCAAAACCAAAUAUUUGUUUAAUGUGUGACCAAAGUAUACUUUCAUGAAAAUAAAUUAGCAAUUCUUAUGUCAAAUGGUUUCACAUGAAGAUUUGUUUCAUGUUAACCCAUUUACUAAAGAUAUUUAUUUUGAGUCCACUAUUACUAGGUUUCUAUUCAACCAUUUCGUGAGGAUGAAUUACCUGAUGCAUGAAAAUAGUCACGAACGGACUGAUGCUAACAUAAUAUGACGGUACAAUUUUAUUAAUGUCUACAGACAAUUUGUUUGUUCGACAUGGUGGAAUCUUUUUGUGUUAGUAAAAUUAUGUAUGCGAGAAAUGCCGGUAGAAACGCCUUUAUGCUCAAAUAUUGAUAUAAUAACCAUCAUAUGGACGUUAACUUGGAGUCAUGCGAUGAUAUGUUGUGUGGUCCUCCCACUACGACUCAGGAAACCAUGUAGUUUAUUAGGCUACUGAUUAAAUAACAAUGAACUUCACAGGGUGGUGAAAGAGCAAGCUGAUGAGCUUGAUGCUCCUUUCUAAUCAAUAUCCAGGGUCUUAUUCUGGUGACAUGAACUGAUGCUUGGCUGCCGCUUGAAAAUAAAAAAUAAUAUUGCUCUUAUCCACAAUAAUCUAAUAAUGUAGGUAACCUACCUGCACUGUGUCUGUGAGCUGUUGGCUAACACGCACUUGCCAAUACCAGAGUGGGCAUAUAAAGCAACAGUUAGUCUGACAAAACCAUCAGUAGAGUUGAAAAUGCGAUUGAAACCCAUUUAACUUGUGAUUUUCAUUCUGUACAUGGCAAUUUAACCGCAGAAGGUAAUUGUAUUUACACUACGUCAUCACACACAGCCUUUUAUCAGCAAUAAGUCCAUUUGAUGGAAACACCUCUCAUGUGAGCAUGUUAUUUUAUGCAGAUUUUAGAAUAUUCGCAUCAAAUUGGAUGGAAACCUUGCUAAUGUUGUUAUGCCUAAUUGGUGUGUUUGUAUGGAAAACCGGAAUUGGACUUGGUGAUGUCUGCCCUCGGAAUAGCUGGGAUAGCUGUGGUUCAGUACUAGCUGCCUUGACUGCACAGCUGACUUACAGCCCAAAUAUCACUACAUUCAUUACUGUGAACCAAUAAAAAAACAGAUGCAAA